GUUCAAAUAUUUCAUCACAAUGUUAAACAUUGGGAAUUCCUAAUAGUUUUACAUUUUUAAAUAACACUGUGGUACGCAGCCAUCGCGAUAAACUCGUGAACGGGCUCUUGGUUCAUCAGCUGAUAUUUAUUAAACCGUGAGCGUGUGCAUGUGGCUUCCAUAACCACCGUCACAAAGGGGGAAUGUGGGCACAACUAGAUAUUUCAGUUUAGAAUUAAAUGUUCAUGUCAUUUCAACUAAUUUUACGACAAAACCUAUUUUCUAUUUGUUUCGUCAUUCAUGGCCGUGCGGAAAAGUUGUGGGUGCGCUUGGUCGUCGUAUACUUGCUGUUUUGAUAGGGUGUAUGGGUUCGAUGAACAGUUUCGCCGUCCGAGCGAGAGCUCUGAUGUUUCACGCAGUGUAGUCAGUCAGUCAAUCGGUGAAUAGAGUUCAGUGGCGAUAGGCGUGUGUACCAGGCAAGCCAGGCAAGCAUACGUCGCGCUUCCUCGGCUAUCUGCGCUGCGAGGAAAUCUUACCUUUUUACCUUCUGUACAACUCUCUCUCAUGUAUUGGAUGUGCGGAUGAACAGACAUUUUGAAAAGCUAGAGGCGUGAAAAUUUUCAUUUUCUACUUUUCUGGGAAGAAUUUGAAGUGUUUUGUGACUUUUAUCGAACCAGUAUGGUGUGUUAGAUAAAAAAACAGUGAAAAGUAUGUUAAAGUGACAAAGAAAGUGGUGGUUUUGAACAGUGUAAUUAACUUCAGCUGGACUUUGGAUCCAAGCCCAGUAUUGAUUUUCCAUUUUCUCUCGAUGGAUAAUGCGUAUGGUGAUGAAAUAUAAACUCGAAAUUGUUCAAACCUCGAACAACGCAAUAGCGAAGCAAAUCGCACAGUGAAAGCACAGUUAAUUGGUGAUAAGACGAGUGUGUCAUUCUUCCCUGUUAUCUCGGUUACCGAAAGUGGUACCUCCUGCGGGUUCUCUCCGUGUCGGUGCAACCCAAAUGGAUGUGUUUUCCCUUGUGGUUCGGAUUUUCAUUGAAACUCUCAGCAUUAUAAACCAUUCUGUUGCUCGGGGGGAAUAAGAAGAAGAAAACACAUUAGUGGCGAACAAUUUACUGUAGUUGUGAGGCUGCUCCAGACUAUGUUAUUGUGAGUUUGAAUCAACGAAGAGUGAAUCGAACAGGCAGUGAUGAAUCAAAAACAGCUGUGUAUGCAGAAAGUAAAGAUUGCUUCUCGGUCAUCGUGAUAAACAACAUAUACAGAAGAGGUAAGUCAUCUUUGCUUAGGAAGAGAUACUAUCUUUAUAUUGCUCUUCACUGAGGCUUCACGUCAUAAAGUUAUCGAUAAUUUUACAGGAAACGCUCUGUGGCAAGAUAGCGAUGAGAGAACUCAAAUAGGUACAGUUGAACCAUUUAUACUUUUCUCUUUUGGCACAGAAGAGCCAUCAUGUCACAUAAAAAAUAAAUUCGACGUAUAAGUGGAGUGUAUUAUUCCUUCACAACACAGUGGCAACCAUAUUGCCACUUACAUUUUCUAAUUCUUUCUGCUUGAUAAUAACGUACAUGUAUUAAACUUCUUUUUCGGUUUACAGUUCUAGCCACAAUCAUUGUUGAAAAGUACAUAUUUACUCAUGUUUCUAUGUAUUUAUCGACCGUGCUUGAAAAUAUAUACGUUUUGAAUUUUUAUGAUCUUGUGUCUCGCCCCUAGCUUUCAAAUCGUUAUUAUCGUCGCAGCACCAAAUCGAAGUCGUCGCUUGAAGCACAUGCGAAGUUGCAGCUGCGAAGUAAAUUUGAAUCUAUUUUUUCUGUUGCGCAUCAUAAAGUUAUAUAAGAGCUACAAUAUGCACUAAUUCAAAUUGAGUUGCGACAUUUCUAAGUAGUUUAAAAAUCAAUUUUCGCAUCGUCGGUCACUUCGGAUUUCACCAUAAUAUUUUUUAUCGUGUACUUCAGAUAGGAACAAUCUUGGGGCCUGUGUCAAUAGGGUCCUAAAAUUAAAGACGAAAUCUCGCUAAUAUUGAAUAAUGCGAUCAAGCAUGGUAUUCUAAUUGGAUUUGUACUUUACUCGAACUUGAAAAACAAAGAAAUAAUGAGAAAAUUCGAAAUAAGUAAAAUGGUAAAUAGUUCUACUUUGACACUUGAGGUCAACCUUGUGUGACGGAGCUCGACAUUUUUCGCUCUGGGGAUUCAAAAAUGUUCCUAUCUGACAUACACGGUGAAAAAAAUCACUCAAUGUAUGUGUUAUGAGCUAGGGACGAGACAAAAGACUAAAAAAAUGAAAAUUAUGUAUUUACAACUACGGUUAAUAAAAACGUCAAAAAAUGAGUAAAUAUAUACUCUUGUACCACAUAUUGUGGUUUAAAACAAGAAUCCAGAUAGGACUUUAGGAGCCUAUUGGCGAAUUAAAAUUAAUUUUCACUUAAACUUGACAGUUCGAUAAUUAUUUCCUUAGGAGAACUGUCAAGUUUAAGUGUUGAACUGUCAAAUUUAAGUAAAAAUUAAUUUUAAUUCGUCAAUUGACACAGACCCUUAGGACAAAUUUUGAAUCCCAGUCUUAACACAUAUCAGGCCAAACAUAUCUAAAGGUCCUAUCUGCAGAAGAGAGGCUCUCUUUGGUUUCCCUACAUACAUACAUUUAUUUGUUCAACAUCAUUAAGACAAGACAUAAUCAACAAUAGUACGCCACAAUACUCGGUUUGUGACUGCCGCUCUCCAUCCUCGGUCGCGCCCAAUGCUCGCCAGGUCACGUUCCACCUGGUCCGCCCAUCGUGCUCUAUGCGCUCCACGCCAUCUUGUACCAACCGGAUCAGUUGCAAACACCAGCUUUGCAGUGUUGUUGUCCGACAUUCUUGCAACAUGCCCUGCCCACCGUAUCCUUCCGGCUUUGGCCACCUUCUGGAUGCUGGGUUCGCCGUAAAGUGCAGCGAGCUCGUGGUUCAUCCUUCUCCGCCACACACCGUUCUCCUGCACAUCGCCGAAGAUCGUUCUUAGCACGCGUCGCUCGAAAACUCCGAGUGCUUGUAGGUCCUUCUCGAGGUUUCCCUCUCUUACGUUAAUAUUUCAGCUGUUUAUUUGAAUUAUGAUUGUCUUCUUGCAUAGAACGAUGAUCAAAACAAUCGUCUUUUGAUUUGUACUGCAAAAAUAGUUGAAAAGAGUAGUACCAUUACAUUGCAAUAAUUGAAAGAGAAUGUGAACAAAGAGAGCCUCUCAAGUGCAGAUAGGAUCUAUUGAAAUGUUUGUCCUGAUAUGGCACUCGCUGAUUUUUUUAUGUAACAAUUAUGACACUUGAGGAAACUUAUGCCGUUUUUCUUUUUGAACCUGGGUUGGAACUGGAGCGCCGGGGAAUGUAUAAACUAAGGCCUGAAGUACACAGGGUCAAAUAUUUGACUGGGAAAAAACUCAAGAAACAACAUCAGUACGUUUGACACUAAAGAGAAUUCUAUCGAGUCAAACAAGAUGUUUGAGCAUUGUUUCUUUUUGGACAAAUAUUUGACCCUGUGUACUAACGGCUUAACAAACCUCAAAUCCAUCAAUGACAUUGCAUUAGGUUAAAUUUUUAAUGAAUUCUGGCUUUCUCGUGCCAGAAUCCCGUACACUGCAAUCGUGAACACUGCAAAAAUUCCACACAUUUUUAUUGGCAAAAAUCCAUGGAUUUGAAAGGAAUCUCGAAAGGAGUCCUGGGUGAAAUCAAAGAAGGAGUCCUGCGAGGAAUUCUUAACGGAAAUUUUGAAAGUAUUUCUAGAGAAAUCCUUAACUGAAUGCUUCGUUAAGAAAUCAAUGAAGAUAUCUCAGAACAAAUCUCUGAAACAACCCUUGUCGGAAGCCAUGCAGAUUUUUUUUUUCAAUUUUAAACAAAUGCCGGGAGAAAUCAAUAAAAAAAUCUCGGAAGAAGUCUUCAAAGGAACCCUGGCAAGAAUUCUUUAGAGAAAUCCUAAAUGAAUCGGAAUGAUGACUUAAACAAAACCCGGGAAAAUCAAUGAAGAUAUUUCGGAAGGUAUCAAUGAAAAAAUUCUGGAAGGAAUAUCUGAAGGAAAAGCGAGAGGAAUUCCUAGAGAAAAUCCUGUAAGAAUCCUGGAGAAACCCUUAUGGAAACUCGGAAAUUAUUCAUGAAAGAAUCCGGAAGAAAUCCCGCGGGACUAGUCCCUGAAGGAAUACCGUGGGAAAUUCCUCAAGGAACCCUCGAAAGCAUUCUGGAGGAAUUUUCUUAAAGAAUCUCGGGAGACAUCCCUUUGGGAAUACCGAGAAGAGCCCCUGAAUGAAUCCCAGUAGGAAUUCAUGGAGCAAUCCUUAGAAGAAUACUCGAAAGGAUUUCAGGAAGAAUUCCGAGCAGAACACCUACCUACAAAAUAAAAUUCUGGUAGGAAUCCUAGGAGAAACUUUGGAGAAUUGUCGAGAGAAUUUGCUGAAUAGUUUCACAGAUAAAUCCCUAUAGGAGGCCUUGCAUGUGGACCGAUCUCUUGAAAUGUGAGAUAUGUGAAAUGUCCAUCGACCACGCUUAAACGAUCAUUUUAAGUCUUCAUAGUUGUGGCAUCCUUUUUCUUUGCGUUUGACGUGAAAUGAUGAGAUGCUAGCGCCAAGCAACGGGAGCAUAACAAAAUACUCUGAUGUGACCGUUACAAAGUUUUACAUAAGGCGAAAUGCGAUUGAGAAUUACAACAUUCCAAGAUAUGACUCAAGCGUCAAAGUGGCCAGGCCUACUGCAUUAAUUGUCGCAAAGAUGGUUCUUAGAAUAGGGUCCUAAAAUUAAAGACGAAAUCUCGCUUAUAUUGAAUAUUACGAUCAAGCAUGGUAUUCUAAUCGGAAUUGUACUUUACUCGAACUUGAAAAACAAAGGAAUAAUGAGAAAAUUCGAAAUAGGUAAAAUGGUAAAUAGUUCUGCUUUGACAUUUGAGGUCAACCUUGUGUGACUGAGCUCAACAUUUUUCGCACUGGGAUUUCAAAAAUGUUCCUAUCUGAUAGACACGGUGAAAAAAAAUCACUCAAAGUAUGUGUUAUAAGCUAGGGACGAGACAAAAGGCUAAAAAAAUAAAAAUAAUAUAUUUUCAACUACGGUUAAUAAAAACGUCAAAAAUUGGUUCAAGAGUACAUAUUUAACUCUUGAACCAUAUAUUGUGGUUUAAAACAAGAAUCCCGAUAGGACUUUAGGAGCCUAUUAGGUUCUUUAGGGGUAUGCAAAUUAUUUCAUAAUCGGAAUUCCCGUCCAAAAAUUAGUCGAAAUCCAAAAUCAUUUUUGGUGCCCGGGAACUAUUUUUAAAACCCUUUAGAAGAUUGCUUGGGGAAAUUUUGUUAGGGCGCAUUGUCAUUUUAUCGAUUGAAAAGUCAUUCUAUCCACGAAAAUUAAAUAAAACAGUUUUAAUUUCCGUGGAUAGAAUGAUUUUUGGUAUUUAACCAUCACAACAAAGGAAUUGAAACGCAACAAAAUCACGUUAUACUCAGAAAAAUGAGCUCUUUCGAUUAAGCUAUAGAAAAUAACAGUAUUUUAUUCACUAAACAUCCCAAUUACCACAAGUUUUGAAUGAUUAUUCCACAGACAAACAGACGUAACAUUAUUCAAAAUGGCUUGGCACAUGCAUUUGACGAUCAAUUCAAAUUCAAUCAGAUUUAGCGAUCCUUCCACCAGAGGCAGUAGUGUUCGAUCGCUUUGACGUUUGCCAGUGUACAUGUUGCUGAAUGAUGCAAUACUCCAAUGCACGGUGAUGUCAUCAUGAAAUCGCUCUAUUUCUCUCCUACGGGAAAUUUGAAAACAACAAAUGUCAAAUUUGACAGGUCCUGUUGGCAGGAGUAAAAUCAUUUUAUUUGGUAUGUCGAAAUGCAUCUAAACUCGAUUUUCUCGAAAUAAAAAUUUUAUCCACAAUAAAAAAUAAUUGUGCAAUACAUUGAACCACAGAGAACAGACGUCUAUCUUCGCUUGCUGCCUUAUGGGUAGUACGCUGAUCGCACGAAAUUUCUUGGCCUAUCUCGAUGCGUGGAAAAUUCAGGCAAGGAAUCGCUCAAGCCCAUAUAGCCGAGGCGGUAAACGCACGGGUAUUCAGCAUGACCAUGCUGAGGGUGACGGGUUCGAUUCCCGGUCGGUCCAGGAUCUUUUCGUAAAGAAAAUUUCCUUGACUUCCUUGGGCAUAGAGUAUCUUCGUGCCUGCCACACGAUAUACGCAUGCAAAAUGGUCAUUGGCAGAGGAAGCUCUCAGUUAAUAACUGUGGAAGUGCUCAUAGAACACUAAGCUGAGAAGCAGGCUUUGUCCCAAUGAGGACGUUACGCCAAGAAGAGGAGAGAGGAAUCGCUCAAGAAAUAAAUAUACCGCAUUUAGUUCACUACUGGACUGCGAACUGCGACUUUAUAAGUGCGAAAACGUAAAUAAAAGUGCGCGAUUGCAUCAAAUCAGGUUGAUGUCUUCGGCGCACUAUUUCUUCAAUCUAUGGAGAACAAGUGCUCUGAAGGCACCGAGUUGAUUUGAUGCAAUCGCGCACUUUUAUUAGCGUUUUCGCACUCGUGAAAACUAGUGCGAUAGUCCAGUGGUGAACUAAAUGCGCUAUAAUAAAGUGUCGCUUUAUUCCAGAUCUUAGUACGGACCUGAAACGAAACGUCAAAUCCGUUUGAAAUGCGAGGUAUGCACUUCAAACGGAAUCGCUCAAGUAAUUUUCGUUCAGUGCAUUAUUUUUCCGUGACCGGAAUGGUCAAGAAAUUUAACACAGCAAGCCCGAUUUGAUUUGACGUUUCGUUUCAGCUCCGUACUAGGAUCCGGAAUAAAGCGACGCUUUCUUAUUUCUUGAGCGAUUCCUUGCCUGAAUUUUCCACGCAUCAAGAUAGGCCAAGAAAUUUCUUGCGAUCUGCGUACUACCCAUUACAACUUUGAACGCGCCCCAUUGACCAAUCCAAAUUCCUGUGUGGUAGUGGUUUGUGUUCAGAUUUCCCGUGUUAAUCUAUCUGUAAGAACUUUGUAAACAUCUUUUGUUCUCACGUAUAUGAAUAGGCUUGCAUUAGGUUUCGUGAGAUAUUUUUUGGACAACUCAAUGCAAGUAAUCCAUUUACUGUGGAUUUGCUCAUCGAUCAUCAAGCUGAGAAGCGAGCUUUGUCCCAGUGGGACGUUACGCCAGGAAGAAGUAGAUCUUAAAGAAUUCUUGAGUGAAUCAAUUUAUUUCAAUUCUAUCAGACAUUAAUCCUAAAUUGUGUAUUUAUUUGAGAAACUCUCAACUUUUGUAAAACAUUUUGAUUUAUUUUAAAUAUUACGGGUUAUGACUUAUUAACUGUAAAGAAUGCCCAUAGUGCGCCGUACAAGACGAAUAUUCUGCGAACGUGCUCCAAUCGUUCUUCUCCGAGGCAACCGCAGUGCCAUCUCACCGUUCGCUUGCGGGCAUCGAAAGAACCAACAUCGAAAACAAGACUCACGCACACGAAGACAAACGAUAAAAAAAAACAAAAAAUCCGAACCUUCGCAGCUUGGGGCGCACCAACACAGCCUUGGUGGUGUUUUGUUGUUUUGCUAGUUCGUUCACGUUCGGCACUGGUUGCGACACGAACGCAAACUCGUGGUCGCCGUGAGAGCGGCCCGCGGUGUGUGGAACUCACACAAGCCAGAUGCCACACAGUGUGAAUUUGAAGUUUUUCGAUGGGCAAAAUCGCGUUUUUCAAUAAUAUUUUAAUAGUUAAAUCAAACUUGCAUCACGUCUGUUUAAUUUGAAGAAGAGAAAGUCGAUGAAGAGAAAUCAAUCAUGUUACUUUCACCCUUAUCUAUUAUUACCCUUGUUCUGAAUUAUUCAAAUUAUUAUUAAGAGUAUUUUUUGUUGUCUGUAUUAACGAGAUUUUUAACCCUAAGUUCAUCUCGAGACCCACGCUUUACUUCCCUUCCGAAGGAAGAACCCACAUUUUGUGGGUAUGUCGGGAGCGGGAUUCGAUCCCAGGUCCUCGGCGUGAUAGUCUUGUGUUCUACCCACCACACCAGGUCCGCUCCACUAUUAAGAGUAAUUCCUUUUACACGAUUUACGAUUUUUCGAAGUUUUGUGCCUGAUAUAUUAUUCUGCGUCGCACGGAAAAUUUAAAAGCGCAAACGCUCAUUUACCUCCGCUCGUACGUUAACGGUUAUUAGUGUUUUCGAUGCAGUAUUCCAUUCCACCCGAAGAACCCAUUUUAAGUUUUCUCGAAGUCACUGCCUUUUUAUUUACAACCAAAAAAUUUAACGGAAUUCUUAAACACCUUAUUACCCAUUUAUUCAUGUGGCUGUUCAUAAACCACGUAGACCAAAUUUUGGCCAUCUCAGACCCCUCUCCCCCGUCGUAGACUUCUAUCCAUACAAAAAACACACAUCCCCUCCCCCCUCUUCCCCUCACAAAGUCUACGUGGUUUAUGAAUGGCCUCCAAGUAGCCACGCUGCCCAAGCCUGUGUACAUUAAAGCUUAUGCAACCAAUAAAACUUAAGAAAUUCAUAAAUAUCUUAUGAUAUUUUGCCAUAGUUGUAAUCUAGGUUGUAAUUUGCCAUAAUAAUAACAAACAUAUGAAUACUCAUCUUCAUAAGAUAUUAUUGAUAAUAUUAUGGCAAGAAAUCAAAAGAUAUUUAUGAAUUUCUUACACGCUAACCCCCAGCUACCCAGAUUGAUGUCAAAGCGACCCAGAUCGAGCAAAACUGCAGUUGCCGCGGGCAAUGCGAAAAAUUUUGUCCCAAGUUCCAUUUACCCAGAUUUUGACAUCUACUAACAACAAGAAAUAAUGGGUAUCGAGAUUUCCGCGAAGACCCCUUUACCCACAAUCAGAGUAAACCUUAUACCCCAGACAGACAUGUGAUACGAGUAUGAUUCCUGUACAACGGUACGCAGUGUCAAGAAAAUGCUAACAAGACUGACUUGAACUGAGAGAAUUUUCAGUAUGGCACUCAUUUCAAGCGCAAUCGUACAGUGAUUCUUGUAUCACAUGUGUGUCAUAAGUAUUACUCUUCUGGUGUGAGAUUGGUUACCCAGAUUUUGACAGCUGCUAAUAACACACAAAUCCGGGUAGAAUCGACCCAAUCGAUGGCUAGUUUCAGGUUAGCGACAGACGUAACACUCUGAUAAUUCCCAUCUUACACAGAUUUAUCAAAAUAUGAUAGUUGGCCAACUGCCCACCCGUGGCGCUCGCAUCGUUUUUGUUCGAGUUUGACGUUUGCUCACUACCGCCACCUAGUUGAUGGUCGGCCAAACUUAGUCCUUUUAGCAUUGGGCGAAUAUGUUUCCGUGACAAUGAUUUGAAUCGAAAAAUGUUCGAAGUGUUACGUCUGUUUGUCUGUGGUGUAAGUUUGUUUGGACAAGUGCUGGAUUAAAGUGCAAAAGGGCCACGGGGCCACCGAUUAAGCACAGUUUUGAGUUCGAAAGGGAUCGCUCAAGAAACUUCUUAAGCGAUUCCUAGCAGAAACUUUCUUCGGUUACUGCCAUUUGAAAAGUCAUUUCUUCGCAACUGAAACUUUCGUGUGAUCGAAGAAAAAAACUGUUUCUCGAGCGAUUUAUUUAUUUCCCAUGUAUCAAUAUAGGCUGAGAAGAGAAAUUCCUUCUGAACUGCAAACAGCCCUUCACACUCUAUUUGAAUUUUUGAAUUUUGGUCACCUAUUUAUCCCAUCAUGCCCACUGUGCGCUCAUGUGCAAACGUCACUCCGGUGUGCCUGCGUGUGAGUGAGUCAGCGAGCCACUCAUCGACCGUCGGUCCAAGUCGAGCCCGAGCCCGAGCCACGGCCAGUCACAGUCGUAGCAAGGCAGCCGAAGAGUGAGUGUUCGCUCCGUACUCGCGCAUAGUGACAUUUUCGUUCCUUUGUUCAGACCACAGUGUAUGGAAAAGUAAGUGGACUGGCCCGAAAUCGAUAAAAUUUUCCAACUUUUUCGCCGUCUGCGGAUUUAUCCCUGCCCGGAAGGACAACCGUAAGUAGCCAUUCGGUUCAAUUUCCUAUACUAUCCGGUGGGGAAACGGUGCGGAAUUAUAUAAUUUCGACGAUGAAAAAAGUGCCACGGACGGAAAAGAGCACAUAAUGGCCGA